rnacentral:rRNA from 1 species
GACGAACGCUGGCGGCGUGCCUAAUACAUGCAAGUCGAACGAAGAGGGACUUGAAUUUUUGCAAGGCGAGGUUGGGUGCGGACGGGUGAGUAACACGUUGAGUACCUAGCCUUAAGCGGGGGGUAACCAUUAGGAAAGAUUACUAAUACCGCGAAGAAUUGCAGCUGUCGUGUGCAGUGAAGGGGAGAGGUCUUGGGCUGGCAGGUGAGGGUGGCUCGGCGGUGCAUUAGCUUGGUGGUGGGGUAGAGGCCUACGACGGCAAUGAUGAAUAGCCGCCCGGGGAGGGUGAUCGGCCACCUUGGGACGAGGAAACGGCCCACCCUCCUCCGGGAGGAAGCAGUAGGGAAUAUUACGCAAUGGAGGGAAGUAUGACGGAGCAACGCCGCGGGUGGGAAGAAGGUCUUCGGCUCGUAAAGCACUGUUGUUAGAGAAGAACGACCGGUAGAGUAACUGUUACCGGAGUGACGGUAUCUAACCAGAAAGCGACGGCUAACUACGUG